AUCCAACUGACGAGUCCCAAAUAGGAUGUGGUGACGCGCAUCCUGGAU
rfam:Schistosoma rodhaini strain Burundi genome assembly, scaffold: SROB_scaffold0000227